ACUCAAAGGAAUAGACGGGGGCCCGCACAAGCAGCGGAGCAUGUUGCUUAAUUCGAGGCAACGCGAAGAACCUUACCUGGGUUUGACAUGGUAGGAAAAGCCAUAGAGAUAUGGUGUCCUUUUGGGCCUAUCACAGGUGGUGCAUGGCUGUCGUCAGCUCGUGUCGUGAGAUGUUGGGUUAAGUCCCGCAACGAGCGCAACCCUUAUCCUAUGUUGCCAGCGCGUAAUGGCGGGGACUCGUGGGAGACUGCCGGGGUCAACUCGGAGGAAGGUGGGGACGACGUCAAGUCAUCAUGCCCCUUAUGUCCAGGGCUGCAAACAUGCUACAAUGGCUGGUACAAAGGGCUGCGAAACCGCGAGGUCGAGCGAAUCCCAUAAAGCCAGUCUCAGUUCGGAUCGGAGUCUGCAACUCGACUCCGUGAAGCUGGAGUUGCUAGUAAUCCCGGAUCAGCAUCGCCGGGGUGAAUACGUUCCCGGGCCUUGCACACACCGCCCGU
rnacentral:rRNA from 1 species